rnacentral:misc_RNA from 1 species
GAAAUGCGAUAAGUAAUGUGAAUUGCAGAAUUCAGUGAAUCAUCGAAUCUUUGAACGCACAUUGCGCCCGGCAGCAAUCUGCCGGGCAUGCCUGUCCGAGCGUCAUUUCUGCCCUCGAGCGCGGUUCGUCCCCUAGCGGGCCGGCCGCCGCCCGGUGUUGGGGCGCUGCGGGCCCUCGUGCCCGCAGGCCCUGAAAUGAAGUGGCGGUCCCGCCGCGGCGCCCCCUGCGUAGUAGUAAAGCACCUCGCAUCGGGUCCCGGCGGAGGCCAGCCGUCGAACCUCUCUUUGGAUGGUUUGACCUCGGAUCAGGUAGGGUUACCCGCUGAACUUAAGC